UACUCAAGAUUUACGGAGGAAGAAGUGGAUCAACAAAUGUUGGCUGAAAAAGAGGUAAGUUGAGGGACACACUUAUUUACAUUAUUGAACUGCUUUGGAGUGAUUGUAAGGGUUUACUGACUUGUUAGAAGAAUGGAGGCUCCACUGCUAUCUUAGUUGAAAACAUGAAAUGCACUGCACAUGAGUGUAAUAAAAAAAGCACCUAGACUUGCUAGUUCACACAGCAUCCCUGCUGUUAGACAUUCAUGUGUGUUGUUUCGCUUGUUGCUUGUUUUAUUACUUUUCUUCUCAUCAUAGUCCUAAUACUUGUCAAGUAUCCCGUUUUGGCCUGAAACAUCCUGUAUUUUACACCUCUUUCCUAGCCUGACUAGCCAGCCCAUCUCUUUUGCAUUCUGUUCCAUUGCAUUACAAAAUUUGAAUGUAAAUGAAAAAUCAUGUAGGGCUGGUAUGUUUUAUUUAUUUUAUUUUAUUAACACUGGUAUGUUUUAUUUGUUGACCUUCAAAUUAAAUGUGCUGUGACAUGACAUGUCAUCAGUCUUACACAUUUUGGUUAUAUACUGUACUUCUGUAUUCUAUAGUAACCAAUUUGCAUCUUCCGUUUCUAAACAGAAAUGCUGGCAGGGAUGGAGAGGUUUUUUGAGGGGGGCAUUGAUGGCAAAGUACCAAAGUACUCAAUGGCCGACUUUGAAAAAUACAACUUCAAGACUAUUGGAGAAAUAUUUGCUGUGAGUCUCGCACAAGGGGGACCACCACCAAACUUUUUAAUGCAGUGGUGUUACAGCUACAUAUCCACUGGUGAAUUUGACCAGGGAUCAAUAACUGAAAAGGACGUUGUGGACCUGGAGCUCAUGGAACUAAUAAAAGAGAUUGAGGCAGCUGACAGUGAACUCCUGAUGGCAUACACAGACAGGAUUUUGUCAUGUGGAUACACAGGGCCUGUGUCCAUUGGAAAAAAAGGAAGACAUUGUGCGCUCUUUAGUUCUACACUCUAUAGUCAGGUUACUGCCCAUGCUCCAACAAAUCUCCUCUGGAAUGAAACUGUAUGACCUCCUCACCUUAGUCCAGCAGGACAACGACAUCUGCAGACAGCUUUUUGUUCCAGGAUCUUUUUGCAAGGUGGAUGCUGAUUUUCUUGUGCAGUCCCUAUCCCCUGUCUUUAGUGAGAUUGGCACAAUGAGACAUCAAAGAGAGUCCACAGUGGUCAACUUUGUACAGACUAUGGAGGAUGAAGAAGAGGAUGAACACAACUCAGAGACCAGAGAAGAUGAGGUCAACAAGGCUGAAAAACAAAACAAUGAGACACAUAUUAAUGUUGGCAAGUUCUGCCAGUGGCUCACAGGACAGUCUCAUAUUCCUUUAAGUUAUGCAGAACGUAAACACUUUAAAAUAGUCAUGGAAUUUGACCAUGACUGUGAGGUUCGUUAUGGUGCAAAUCAUACCAUCUGCUAUCCUGUGGUUAAUGCAUGUUCCUGCUCUGUUUCAUUCCCAGUUGCACACCUGAGAACAUAUGCAGAGUUCAAAACAGUACUCUUUCAGGCCAUUGUCAAUGGCUUUGAAUUUAGCCGGUAUUAAUAAAUAAAUAAAUGAUAA